rnacentral:rRNA from 1 species
UCUUCCCUCUGGCGGCGUGCCUAAUACAUGCAAGUCGAGCGAACAGAUGAGGAGCUUGCUCCUCUGACGUUAGCGGCGGACGGGUGAGCAACACGUGGAUAACCUACCUAUAAGACUGGGAUAACUUCGGGAAACCGGAGCUAAUACCGGAUAAUAUAUUGAACCGCAUGGUUCAAUAGUGAAAGACGGUUUUGCUGUCACUUAUAGAUGGAUCCGCGCCGCAUUAGCUAGUUGGUAAGGUAACGGCUUACCAAGGCAACGAUGCGUAGCCGACCUGAGAGGGUGAUCGGCCACACUGGAACUGAGACACGGUCCAGACUCCUACGGGAGGCAGCAGUAGGGAAUCUUCCGCAGUGGGCGAAAGCCUGACGGAGCAACGCCGCGUGAGUGAUGAAGGUCUUCGGAUCGUAAAACUCUGUUAUUAGGGAAGAACAAAUGUGUAAGUAACUAUGCACGUCUUGACGGUACCUAAUCAGAAAGCCACGGCUAACUACGUG